GAUUGACAUUUACUUGUGGGUAGAAAUUGUUAUAGCUGAUUUGACUAGGAUAAUGAAUGGGCUGUGUGCCCCACUGCAACUUUUUGUUGCAUGCCCCGCUCACCCUCCUCGUGACAAGGAUUCCAUCACACAUGGAUGCAGAAACAAUUUAUUGCAUGGAGCAGCAGGAGAAGAUCAUUCUGAUACAAUUUAAACUUGGCAGCCUGAGGAAAAAACUACACAUUUUUCAUAUCAUCGUGCCCUGAAGAAAUUUGGCCAUUUGCUGGUGGCUGUAAAUGUUGUCUACUGCCUGGUGGAUCACAUACCACCAUUCUAUCACAAGGACAGGAAAGAGCCACCUGAUAUUGAAAGGGAUGCCCCCCCCCAUGUAUUUCCUAUUGGAGACCAAUUGUCAAAUUGCGGAUAGUUAUACAAUUUUCUGUGCCACAGCUCCCUGUAAUGAAUCUGGAGAGUUGCUGGGUGGCCUACAGGCUGCAGAUUCUGUAUUCGAGAUAUGUUCCAAGGGCUUUUUUCAGGAUGAUCCUGGAAAAGCUUGGAGAUAUGAAAUCACUGGAGAAAUUUGGGGAAAGUGGGUGGGAGGGAGAGAAAAACUGGGUUUUAGGAUGGAUAGGAAGCUUGACAGUCAAUUCAUGGUAGCGUACAUAUCAUCAAAGUGCAAACCUAAGAAUGGCAUUGGAUAAAAAGAGAGAAAGAAGUGAUAGCAGUUUAUUUGGCAAUAGUGAACUGCAGCUGAAAUGGCUGAUUCCUAUUGGAUUCUAAAAUGGCUAGAAAUGUGUGUCACCCCCCAGUGAUGAC
rnacentral:lncRNA from 1 species